rnacentral:rRNA from 1 species
AGAUGAGCCNAAGNUCGGAUUAGCUAGUUGGUGGGGUAAAGGNNNACCANAGGCGACGAUCNNUAGCGGGUCUGAGAGGAUGANNNAGCCACACUGGGAACUGAGACACGGNCCAGACUCCUACGGGAGGCAGCAGUGGGGAAUAUUGGCACAAUGGGGGGAACCCUGAUCCAGCCCUGCCGCGUGUGUGAAGAAGGCNUUAUGGUUGUAAANCACUUUAAGCGAGGAGGAGGCUUUUUUGGUUAAUACCCAAGAUCANUGGACGUUACUCGCAGAAUAAGCACCGGCUAACUCUGUGCCAGCAGCCGCGGUAAUACAGAGGGUGCGAGCGUUAAUCGGAUUUACUGGGCGUAAAGCGCGCGCAGGCGGCUUUUUAAGUCGGAUGUGAAAUCCCCGGAGCUCUAACCUUGGGAAUUGCAUUCGAUACUGGGAAGCUAGAGUAUGGGAGAGGAUGGUAGAAUUCCAGGUGUAGCGGUGAAAUGCGUAGAGAUCUGGAGGAAUACCGAUGGCGAAGGCGGCCCUCUGGCCUAAUACUGACGCUGAGGUACGAAAGCAUGGGGAGCAAACAGGAUUAGAUACCCUGGUAGUCCAUGCCGUAAACGAUGUCUACUAGCCGUUGGGGUCUUUGAGACUUUAGUGGCGCAGCUAACGCGAUAAGUAGACCGCCUGGGGAGUACGGUCGCAAGGACUAAAAACUCAAAUGAAUUGACGGGGGGCCCGCACAAGCGGUGGAGCAUGUGGUUUAAUUCGAUGCAACGCGAAGAACCUUACC